GAUGAACGCUGGCGGCGUGCCUAACACAUGCAAGUCGAGCGAACAGACGAGGAGCUUGCUCCUCUGACGUUAGCGGCGGACGGGUGAGUAACACGUGGAUAACCUACCUAUAAGACUGGGAUAACUUCGCGAAACCGGAGCUAAUACCGGAUCAUAUAUUGAACCGCAUGGUUCAAUAGUGAAAGACGGUUUUGCUGACACUUAUAGAUGGAUCCGCGCCGCAUUAGCUAGUUGGUAAGGUAACGGCUUACCAAGGCUACGAUGCGUAGCUGACCUGAGAGGGUGAUCGGCCACACUGGAACUGAGACACGGUCCAGACUCCUACGGGAGGCAGCAGUAGGGAAUCUUGCACAAUGGGCGAAAGCCUGACGGAGCAACGCCGCGUGAGUGAAGAAGGUCUUCGGAUCGUAAAACUCUGUUAUUAGGGAAGAACAAAAGUGUAAGUAACUAUGCACGUCUUGACGGUACCUAAACAGAAAGCCACGGCUAACUACGUG
rnacentral:rRNA from 1 species